UCUGCAUGUUGGUCAGGCUGGUCUCAAACUCCCAACCUCAGGCACCCUAAGGCUGAGAUUCUGCACAAAAGCUUUGUCUCUCCUGCACACGGGCACCCUAAGGCUGAGCAGCACUCUCUGCCGGGUGACUGCGCCAGCGCCCAGAUCACCUGCUGGAGAAAGAAAGCAUGGCACGUUGAAGGCAAG